CUUAUCAAGAGUGGUGGAGGGAACGGCCCUGUGAAGCCCGGCAACCUGCAAUACGCAAGGUGCCAAAUCCGGCGGUAGUACGAAAGAUGAG
rnacentral:ncRNA from 1 species